rnacentral:rRNA from 1 species
AUACGGAGGGAGCAAGCGUUAUUCGGAAUCACUGGGCGUAAAGCGCGCGCAGGCGGCUAUUUAAGUUGGAUGUGAAAGCCUACGGCUCAACCGUAGAACUGCAUCCAAAACUAUUUAGCUAGAGUGUGGGAGAGGAAGAUGGAAUUAGUUGUGUAGGGGUAAAAUCCGUAGAGAUAACUAGGAAUACCAAAAGCGAAGGCAAUCUUCUGGAACACUACUGACGCUGAGGCGCGAAAGCGUGGGGAGCAAACAGGAUUAGAUACCCUAGUAGUCC